GGGACCCAAGGGCGACAGCUGGAAGGCAGCCCAAAGGGGUAGCUGGGGUGCGCCGUGGCAGGGGGAGCUAGAGCAGGAGACCGCGGAGGAGGCGGUCGCUCGCCCCGCUGCUGCCUGGCGGCGCCUGGCACCGGCCCGAUCUCAACCCCGCGCAGUGUGUGCCAAGCGCUGCCAGGCGUAAGUCCGGUCAGCUGAAGAGACUUCUGGGGACAGGGACAGGAAGAACAGGACUAGAUGGAAGGCAUCCAACAUGAUGAAAUAUGGUGUAGAAGAAUGGCCCGUGUAGAACAAGCUCUGGGUACUAAAGUUGCAAGACCAAAGACGACCGCGGGCAGCCUGCCACAACUCCUCUGGCUUUCUGUCCCCUUUCUGGCUGGAGAGUGGCUCCCUUGGACCACGAUGAACACUACUGCAGCGCCCCCUGCUGCAUAGCAACCACAAGACACGGAAAAUAGGCCUGAUUUCCUUGCAGGCUGAUGCGCCGGUCUCCAGCACCUAACCAGCAAGCCUCCAAAACUGCCGAAAGAUAUUGAGCUCCCUGGAUGUCUGGCAGUGGCCUGAAAACCAAAUACCAUGGUUUGGGAUUCUGCAAAACAAAGCUACAUCUUUUCCUGAUUUCACAAGGAAAUCUGUGAAAUCUGUAUAGUUCAUAGAUGACAUGAAUAUUUAUUAUACCUAUUAUGCCACCUUUAAUGGGCACAUUUUUAAAAACAGAUGUAAACAUACAUAAAAAGGAAUUAUAUUUUUAAUGGUAGAGACAGAUCUUUCACCUUUUUUUUUCAUAAUCUCUGCUAACUGUAGAAGUUUUUAAAAGUCCAUAUCAGGAUCCUCUGUGUCUCUCCGUGUUGAGAUAUACAUACAUAGAGAUACACAUAUAUCUGUAUAUGUAUACAGUGUCCUAGUACACUGGAGGAAGAAUACGUAGUCUAGAGUCAGAUGCCUGAGUUUGAGUCUGCUUUCUGCUACUUAAUAUUUGGGUGAACUUUGGCCAGUCACCCAACCUCUUUGUGACUCAGUUUUCUCAUCUAUAAAACAGUGAUAAUAAUAGUACCUAUGUUAUGAGUACUGUAGUUAUAAGAGGUAGCUAACAAGUGUAAAGAACCUAGAAGGUUCCUAGAAAGUGCAGUAGAAGUGUUAGCAAUUUUAUGAUGAUGAUGAUACUCUUCAAUUUUCUCUUUUCCUUUUACUAAACUAAAACCUAGACAAUUACCUCCAAAGCAUAUCCCAUCACAUCCACAUUGCUCCAAUCCUAGUCCAAGCUGCCCUCUUCUCCUGCACAGACGAAUGCAGUAGCUUUCUAAGUGGUCUUCUUCUACUCCUGCAAUUCCUCCCUCCUUUUGUCUUGGCUUUAGGCAUUGGACAGAAGGUUUUGAAAACCUACAAUCUCCCUACUUACAAAUGUUCAGUGACUUUCUGUUGCACAUGAAAUAAAACUGUAGUUUUACCAUGGCCAGCCAGGCCCUCA